AAUGGGCGAAAGCCUGACGCAGCAACGCCGCGUGCGGGAUGAAGGCCCUCGGGUCGUAAACCGCUUUCGACAGGGAAGAAAAUGACGGUACCUGUAGAAGAAGCCCCGGCCAACUACGUGCCAGCAGCCGCGGUAAUACGUAGGGGGCGAGCGUUGUCCGGAUUUAUUGGGCGUAAAGAGCUCGUAGGCGGUUAGCUAAGUCAGAUGUGAAAACUCAGGGCCCAACCCUGAGCCUGCAUUUGAUACUGGUUUGACUUGAGUCAAGUAGGGGAGUGUGGAAUUCCCAGUGUAGCGGUGAAAUGCGCAGAUAUUGGGAGGAACACCAGCAGCGAAGGCGGCACUCUGGGCUUGUACUGACGCUGAGGAGCGAAAGCAUGGGUAGCAAA
rnacentral:rRNA from 1 species